rnacentral:rRNA from 1 species
CACCUCUAGCAUUACUAGUAUUAGAGGCACUGCCUGCCCAGUGACAUUAGUUAAACGGCCGCGGUAUCCUGACCGUGCAAAGGUAGCAUAAUCAUUUGUUCUUUAAAUAGGGACUUGUAUGAACGGCCACACGAGGGUUCUACUGUCUCUUGCUUCCAAUCAGUGAAAUCGACCUCCCCGUGCAGAGGCGGGGAUACACAAAUAAGACGAGAAGACCCUAUGGAGCUUUAAUUAACUAACUCAAAGAAAAUAUAAAUAACCGCCAAGGGAUAAUAAUCUUCUACCUGAGUUAGCAAUUUCGGUUGGGGUGACCUCGGAGAACAGAAAAACCUCCGAGUGACUAAAAUCUAGACUUACCAGUCAAAAUGUAGUGUCACUUAUUGAUCCAAAAUAUUUGAUCAACGGAACAAGUUACCCUAGGGAUAACAGCGCAAUCCUAUUCAAGAGUUCAUAUCGGCAAUAGGGUUUACGACCUCGAUGUUGGAUCAGGACACCCCAAUGGUGCAGCCGCUAUUAAAGGUUCGUUUGUUCAACGAUUAAAGUCCU